AUAAGAGGUUCCGCCUGCCCUGUGACAAAAAGUUUAACGGCCGCGGUAUUUUGACCGUGCAAAGGUAGCGCAAUCACUUGUCUUUUAAAUGAAGACCUGUAUGAAUGGCAUAACGAGGGCUUUACUGUCUCCUUUUUCAAGUCAAUGAAAUUGAUCUCUCCGUGCAGAAGCGGGGAUAUAACCAUAAGACGAGAAGACCCUAUGGAGCUUUAGACACCAAAGCAGAUCUUGUUAAGAACACUUAAAUAAAAGACUAAACCAAAAGAAACCUGCCCUAAUGUCUUUGGUUGGGGCGACCGCGGGGAAACAAAAAACCCCCAUGUGGACUGAGAAUACCUUUCUCAAAACCAAGAGCCACAGCUCUAAUUAACAGAACUUCUGACCUUAAGAUCCGGCAUGCCGAUCAACGGACCGAGUUACCCUAGGGAUAACAGCGCAAUCCUCUUUUAGAGCCCAUAUCGACAAGGGGGUUUACGACCUCGAUGUUGGAUCAGGACAUCCUAAUGGUGCAGCCGCUAUUAAGGGUUCGUUUGUUCAACGAUUAAAGUCCUACGUGAUC
rnacentral:rRNA from 1 species